rnacentral:rRNA from 1 species
GACGAGCGCUGGCGGCGUGCUUAACACAUGCAAGUCGAACGGUAAGGCCCUUCGGGGUACACGAGUGGCGAACGGGUGAGUAACACGUGGGUGAUCUGCCCUGCCCUUCGGGAUAAGCCUGGGAAACUGGGUCUAAUACCGGAUAGGACCACUGCCUGCAUGGGUGGUGGUGGAAAGCUUUUGCGGUGUGGGAUGGGCCCGCGGCCUAUCAGCUUGGUGGUGGGGUGAUGGCCUACCAAGGCGGCGACGGGUAGCCGGCCUGAGAGGGUGACCGGCCACACUGGGACUGAGAUACGGCCCAGACUCCUACGGGAGGCAGCAGUGGGGAAUAUUGCACAAUGGGCGCAAGCCUGAUGCAGCGACGCCGCGUGAGGGAUGACGGCCUUCGGGUUGUAAACCUCUUUCAGCACCGACGAAGCGCAAGUGACGGUAGGUGCAGAAGAAGGACCGGCCAACUACGUGCCAGCAGCCGCCGUAA